rnacentral:lncRNA from 1 species
GUUGAAUGUUUUACAAGAAAGAAUAAAAUUAAUGAAAACGUGAAAUUUCCUAGUUUGAGAUUGUAAAGCCGAAUUAAUUCAAUAUAGUUUUUCUUUAUCUAUUAUCACAAUUAUGAAAUUAACUUUUUAAAUACUAAUUUGAUUCACCAUUUGUACUUUAUUAAGAAUAAAAUGCUAAAUUCUCUUUGUAAUAGUCAAUUUUGACCCAAUCUUUAAACCCAAUUCCCAACUAAAACCCAUUACAUAUUAAACCAAACAACCCAAAAUUUGAAGGCCAAAGUGGCCCAGAAUGUUUAAACAUUUGGAAACCCUAACCCUAGCCCCAACCCUAACCCUAACCCUAAACAUUUGUCGUUUCUACUUGUUCCUCACCAGCAGGGCCACCAUGCGCGCCGCUUCGUCGCAUUCCUCUGAUGCCUCUCUGACACCUGCAGACAAAACCCACACGCAACAACAGAGGAACAAGUAGAAACGACAAAAAAAAAUAGGAGUAAACAGUCUUGAAAAUCGGUUAUAAAAACCAGAAAUUUACCUUUGUAUUUUUUUUUAGCCACAAACAAAAGGCAGAGACUAUUAAUCUAAAAGAACCUUCGAAGGUGAUUGUUGUUUUUUUAUUUACGAGGGUUUUUCAUCUAGUUCUUUGUUUUGAUUUUAUAUUUUUUUUCAUUUUUUAGUUCUUUUAUUUUUUCAUAUACGAAAAUAAAUAAAAAGGUAAAGAGAAAGGUAACCUCACCUUGAUCUUCCCACGGACUCAUCACCGGAGAUCUCUUCUCCAAUCGCCGAAGUCGAGCCAAAGGGGGAGGGAGGACUUUUCUUUCGAUUUCUUUGGGGUUGAGAAGGCAUGGCCUUCGAGUAUGCCUCAAAACGAGGCUAAAAAGUCAAUCUCGGUGCUUCGUUGGCAACCGGGUACGAUGGUGGUGCGGCGGGCGGUGGAGAACCCGAUCGAUGGAGAGACAAAGGGGGGAGAGGAUAUUUGGAAGCUGUCAAAAAUUUUUUUAAAAGAAACAGCAGAUUAAUUUUUUUUUUUAAAAUUCUUUUAUGGAACAUGCGAAACGGCGUCGUUUAGGGCCGUUUCAGUGGCCUCAAAAAGGCACCGUAUAGGGCCAUCCAUGUGCAACCCGUGACCCGACCCGAAUGGAAGAGGAUCCGCUUGUUUUGUAGCCUUGGGGCUAUUUAUGCGAUGAGUCCCUCCGCAUUUUUGCAUCCUUUAAUUCAGUCCAGU